GCAUCACAGCAAACCUGCUCCCCUCUGUCAGUGUUGGGCACGGGUACAGAUGAUGCCAGAACGACUCAAAGUUAAUCCAGAUGGGCUUCUUCCUUCUAUCAGAACCGGUCUCUACAACUUUGACACAGAG